UAAUAAGAGAUAUUGCCCAAUUAUUUGGCCACAAAUUUAUAUAACUAUUAAAUAUAAGCUAUUGUAUUAUUUUACAAUCUAUCAUAUUAAUCUCCCCAAAAAUUAAAAACAAACCAUGUAAAUAAACCCCGCCACCCCGUGCUUUGGUUUUCUUAGAAUUUUCACAUUUGGCGGACCUUUUUUCGAAACCACCACCCACUACCACCAAAUUAUUUUGGCUGUUGUUUUUCUUUACAUUGAGAAUCCCCUUGGUGUUAAACCACCGUUCACUAUCUCCAAAUUUAGGUUUACCAAUUACACUCAAAUCUCAAUCCUCCCCUUUCUUGUUUUUUUUUUAAAAAAAUGGCUUGGCUGCAAUCUACUCUCCCCCUUAAGUCGAUCAAUUCCAUGGUUUGGAAACCUCUCUCUCACCUCGCCAUGCAUUAUAGCCACCGCUGCAACUGCAGCUUGUUUUGGACGGUGUUACUGCGUUUCUCGCUGGGGAUGCUACAACAGUCUCCUCGCAAUUAGAGGUACACACUCUUCUCUCUACUCUCCCUUUCUCUCUCUUCGUCAUACUUUGAUUCACUAAAUUAGUUCUUGCGUUUCUCUGGUCAUGAAGAACGUCGCAUACGAUCUGACAUAUUGUAGCUUGAGCAGUUUCUUCAAUCCGUUCGUCUUUUAUCUUUUCCCCCCAAUUUAUGCCUUUCUCUUUGACUUUGUAAUUAUGCUUCUUUAUUUUGGCCAAUUAUUUUGGAAAAUUGAAGAUUAUUCAAGGAGAUUUUAUGCUGCUGUAUUAUAUAGUUGCCAUGAAUUUUAAUAUAUGUCAAUCUGAUGCUAUAUUAGGGUUUUUGUGUGAACUACUGAUUUGUUCCUAAAUUAAUACUAAUUAACAGGCAUAUAAAUUUAAAACUUUUCAACGCAAACUUAAAAAUUUGUUUUGUAAAAUAUGAAAUUGAAAGAGAUAUAGUAUCAGUAUGGGAAAGACGAGAAGAUGAAAAGUCAGCUAAAUCAAUCAAUAAGUUAAAUUAAUGACCAUAAAUAAAGCAAUUCGGUUCUCAAUAUUGGGGCCUAAAUUAUGAAGUCAUUAAUUAUUGAAGUAGAGAGAUGCAUGUAAAAUUUUCAAAAUCGCCAAUGAGAGAGCCGGGGUGUUUGAAACAAGCAAAAAAACAGUGAGUUAGGCUUUCAUUUUUAGAUGUUGGAGGCCCUUAGAAAGGGCCCUGUGCUAUUGACCUGUUUGCACAGGCUAAUAGCCGGCUCUGCUAGCUAGCUGGACCUAUAAUCUCGCAUUCGGCGAACAAUUCAUUAAUCCUAUUGUUUGUUAUCCAACAGCCCAUUUUGUUUCUAUAUAAACAAAGAAUCCCCUUUGUGUUAAGCAUUCUGGUGUCCUAUUUGAAGCAUGCUCAUUUACUUUGUAUAUUCCUGCUAUUAUGGAAUGUCAGGUGUAACAAUUUUAUGGUUGUGAAGUGCUCAAGUGAUAAGCGUCGCAGUUGUUUGAUUGUGAAGAACAAAUACCUAAAUUUGUGCUCUUCCCUCCCUAAUACCCAUGUUCGUGAGUUUUCGUCUCUCAAUUUUCACUCAUAUUCACUAAUUUUUCAUCUCUACCUUUUUCUACAAUCGUAAGGACAACUGGAGUUGCACAAGUGGCUGUAAAAUACAUGUAAUGGGCUCUCUAAUUCUGCAAUCACUAUUUAAGUAUUCAAGUGUAUCUAGAUUUCUUCUGAUGCUUUUUCUUCUUACAGCCAUUCAUAAUAUGGAGUAAACUUAAACACUUGUUAGAUGAAAUAUGUCUCCUGUUAGCAGUUAAAUGUACCAUUUUAUUAAGGAUGAUCCAUGAAAUCAUGCCACGUGUUCUCGAACACUAAGAAUAGCAACCCAGUCAUGGAAAUGUUUGGUGUACAUAGCCUAAUCUCUAACUAAUCAAAAUAUACAGAUGACCUGCCAGUAUACUUAAAGAAAAUCUUCUUGUUUAGGGAUCUUGGGCUGAGGUUUUGGAGCAAGAAAUCUUGAAAUUGCGGAACGACUUGCUUAAGAAUGAAGAUCAGACGCUUUGGAAGCUCGACAUGUUGCCUCCCGGACUAAUUACAUCUUAUGGUCCUUGAAGCGAGAAUUAUGCGAGCUUAAAUCUCGAAGGUCUGGAUGGGGUUACUUGCACCAGAAGGGGCAUUCUUCGGUUUUUGGAAGCUGCAUAUCCUUCUCCGAUCCCACAUUGUUUAACCUUUAAUCUAAUUUACUCAAACAUGUACUCCAUUGUUCUUUAUCAUUUGUGAAGAUUGAGAGCUAUACUGUGUCAUCAAAUCAGUUAGGAAAGAAGUCUUAUUUUGUGUUAUGUGAUAGUUUGUCUGUGAUUUAGGACAAAACAGGAUUGUCUAUAAUUUAGGACAAAACAAGAUCUGUUGUAUUCUUUGAACAUUGCACAAUAGAUUUGUAGAUCUUCUUAUCAAUGUCUCACCAUGAUAUUUUUUCCUAUAUUUCUGAACUUGUUUGGACAA